rnacentral:rRNA from 1 species
AGUUCAGAUUGCAGGCUGCAACUCGCCUGCAUGAAGUUGGAAUUGCUAGUAAUGGCAGGUCAGCAUACUGCCGUGAAUACGUUCCCGGGCCUUGUACACACCGCCCGUCACACCAUGAGAGUUGGGAAUACCCGAAGCCUGUGAGCUAACUGUAGAGAGGCAGCAGUCGAAGGUAGAAUCAAUGAUUGGGGUGAAGUCGUAACAAGGUAUC